UCCGGUGGCCUAGUGUUUAGUGCGUCCGCCUCAUAUGCGGGACGUCUUGGGUUCUAUCCCCGGUCUUUGGAU